AGUUGGGCACUCUAGAAAAACUGCCGGUGAUAAGCCGGAGGAAGGUGUGGAUGACGUCAAGUCCUCAUGGCCCUCACGGGUUGGGCUACACACGUGCUACAAUGGUGGUGACAAUGGGUUAAUCCCAAAAAGCCAUCUCAGUUCGGAUUGGGGUCUGCAACUCGACCCCAUGAAGUCGGAAUCGCUAGUAAUCGCGUAACAGCAUGACGCGGUGAAUACGUUCCCGGGCCUUGUACACACCGCCCGUCACACCAUGGGAAUUGGGUCUACCCGAAGGUGGUGCGCCAACCUGCAAAGGAGGCAGCCAACCACGGUAGGCUCAGUGACUGGGGUGAAGUCGUAACAAGGUAACCG
rnacentral:rRNA from 1 species